AUUGAACGCUGGCGGCAGGCCUAACACAUGCAAGUCGAGCGGAGCGGCGGACGGGUGAGUAAUGCCUAGGAAUCUGCCUGGUAGUGGGGGAUAACGUCCGGAAACGGGCGCUAAUACCGCAUACUAUCAGAUGAGCCUAGGUCGGAUUAGCUGGUUGGUUGGGUAAAGGCGUACAAAGGCGACGAUCCGUAACUGGUCUGAGAGGAGGAUCAGUCAAACGGGAACAGAGACACGGUCAAGACGCCUACGGGAGGAAGCAGUGGGGAAUAUUGGACAAUGGGCGAAAGCCUGAACCAGCCAUGCCGCGUGUGUGAAGAAGGGCUUCGGAUUGUAAAGCACUGUAAGUUGGGAGGCGUUACCUACAGAAUAAGCACCGGCUAACUUCGUGCCAGCAGCCGCGGUAAUAC
rnacentral:rRNA from 1 species